GACGAACGCUGGCGGCGUGCUUAACACAUGCAAGUCGAACGAAGUGGCGAACGGGUGAGUAACGCGUAAUCAACCUGCCCUUCAGAGGGGGACAACAGUUGGAAACGACUGCUAAUACCGCAUACUGAAGGAGGGGAUUGCGUCUGAUUAGCUAGUUGGAGGGGUAACGGCCCACCAAGGCGAUGAUCAGUCGCCGGUUCUUGAGGAUGAACGGGCACCGUUGGACUGAGACACGGCCCAGAACCCUACGGGAGGCAGCAGUGGGGAAUCUUCCCGCAUGGACGAAAGUCUGACGGAGCAAAGGCCCGUGAGUGAUGACGGCCUUCGGGUUGUAAAGCUCUUUUAAUCCGGACGCGGUACCGGAAUAGAAAGCCACGGCUAACUACGUGCCAGCCGCCGCGGUAAUUC
rnacentral:rRNA from 1 species